UACGUAGGUGGCGAGCGUUGUCCGGAUUUACUGGGCGUAAAGGGAGCGUAGGCGGACUUUUAAGUGAGAUGUGAAAUACUCGGGCUCAACUUGAGUGCUGCAUUUCAAACUGGAAGUCUAGAGUGCAGGAGAGAAGAAUGGAAUUCCUAGUGUAGCGGUGAAAUGCGUAGAGAUUAGGAAGAACACCAGUGGCGAAGGCGAUUCUCUGGACUGUAACUGACGCUGAGGCUCGAAAGCGUGGGGAGCAAACAGG
rnacentral:rRNA from 1 species